rnacentral:rRNA from 1 species
AGUGAACGCUGGCGGUAGGCCUAACACAUGCAAGUCGAACGGCAGCACAGUAAGAGCUUGCUCUUACGGGUGGCGAGUGGCGGACGGGUGAGGAAUACAUCGGAAUCUACUUUUUCGUGGGGGAUAACGUAGGGAAACUUACGCUAAUACCGCAUACGACCUACGGGUGAAAGCAGGGGAUCUUCGGACCUUGCGCGAUUGAAUGAGCCGAUGUCGGAUUAGCUAGUUGGCGGGGUAAAGGCCCACCAAGGCGACGAUCCGUAGCUGGUCUGAGAGGAUGAUCAGCCACACUGGAACUGAGACACGGUCCAGACUCCUACGGGAGGCAGCAGUGGGGAAUAUUUGACAAUGGGCGCAAGCCUGAUCCAGCCAUACCGCGUGGGUGAAGAAGGCCUUCGGGUUGUAAAGCCCUUUUGUUGGGAAAGAAAAGCAGCAGGUUAAUACCCCGCUGUUCUGACGGUACCCAAAGAAUAAGCACCGGCUAACUUCGU